rnacentral:rRNA from 1 species
UACGUAGGGUGCAAGCGUUGUCCGGAAUUAUUGGGCGUAAAGAGCUUGUAGGCGGUUUGUCGCGUCUGCUGUGAAAUUUCGGGGCUCAACCCCGAACUUGCAGUGGGUACGGGCAGACUAGAGUGUGGUAGGGGGAGACUGGAAUUCCUGGUGUAGCGGUGAAAUGCGCAGAUAUCAGGAAGAACACCUAUGGCGAAGGCAGCACUCUGGGACGGUACUGACGCUGAGACGCGAAAAGCGUGGGGAGCGAACAGG